rnacentral:miRNA from 1 species
AAGUGUGGUUCGGCGUCUCGCC